UUUUUCUUUUUUCUGUUUAUGUCCACACCUGCGGUGUAGGGGAGUUCCCAGGCUAGGGGUCAUAUUGGAGCUGCAGGUGCCGGCUUAUGCCACAGCCACAGCAAUGACAGAUCCAAGCCACAUCUGCAGCCUAUACCACAGCUUGCAACAAGGCCGGAUCCUUAACCCACUGAGCAAGGCCAGGGAUUGAACCCACAUCCUCACGGAUACUAGUCGGGCUCUUGAUCCACUGAACCACAAGGGGAACUCCUCUCCAGAAUUCUUAGGUUGAAGUCCUAACCUCCUUCGGACCCCCAAGCGACUCAAAAUGUGACUAUAUUUGGAAAUACAAUCUUUAACGAGAUAAUUGAAAUGGGGUCAUGAGGGUGGGCCCUAAUUCAAUAUGACUGUGUAAGAGGUGGAAUUUUUAAGAGGAGGAAGUCAGGACAUAGACAUGUAGAGAAGGAGAACCACGUGAAGCCACAGGGAGAAAAAGGCCACCUAUGUGCCAAGGGAAGAGGCCUCAGAAGAACCAACCCUACGGUGCCUUGAUCUCAAACUUCCAACCUCCAGAAGUGUGAGAAAAUGAGUUUCUGUUGUUUGGCAAUCUGAAGCAUUUAGUUAAGAUGGCCCUAGUAAGCUAGUACAUGUAAAACAGAACGAAAUCUAGGCCUGGUGAAUAGGGGUCUGACUUGCUUUGCCAUGAAGAAGAGAUCUAGUGUCUCAUUCAGCCCCAGAUGUGAGUCAGUUCCCUGACCCAAACCUCCUUGAACAGAGAGCCAGACAUCCCCUGAGUAAGGUCUCCUCAAAGAUACUGCAAGUAUCUCCUCUACAUUUCCUGCUUGGGAUCUGCAACUGUUUACUAGGUACCUGCACAGGGAGAGGGAACUUCCCAGAACUUCUGAGGAUGACUGGACACUGGCUCUGAAACGGUGCUAAUUCUUGGGGUUUCUGGUUGGCACUGUGACCCACCAGGGGGGAAUAAAUGGAAACCUGGCUUCAGAAGUUCCCACUGUGUCUCGGCGGUAAUGAACCUGUCUACAAUCCAUCCCUGGCCUUGCUCAGUGGGUUAAGAAUCCAGCGUUGCCACGUGCUGUGGUGUAGGUUGCAGAUGUGGCUUGGAUAUGGUGUUGCUGUGGCUGUGGCGUAGGCCUGUAGCUGCAGCUCCAAUUUGACCCCAAGCCUGGGAAUUUCCAUAUGCCAUGGGUGCGGCCCUAAAAAGCAAGCAAGCAAACCAACCAACCAACAAAAGAAACCUGGCUUCGAUUCAUCUCACAAGGGGACCAACAGCUCUGUAAAAGUCUAAAGUUGUUGUCUCAGCUGCUGAGUACAUGACUGGAAUAGAUGUAUGCUGUGACUGACAGAAUCCACACUUGGACUCCACAGCACAUGGGGUUAGUGCUGUGAUGGCUGUGGAGGGCUAGAAGGCAGUCUCUGGGGUUUCCCUUUCCUACCAAAGCCACAAACCAAGGGAGUUCCCAUCAAUCUUCCUUAUUUAACUCACCGCUCUGGCCUAAGCAGAAGCCAAGUAUGUCUUGGCAAAUGACACUGGAAUAAUGUACGUUUAGUUCUUCUGGAGAUGGUCUCUCUAUUGCGGCAUCCGCGAUACAGAGCUGGAAAAAUCCAGUGUUUCCAUCGCAGUGAGCAGAGAGCAGAGGUGUCCAUCUACAGCAGGACAGCCACACAACUUUUUGCCUCAUGUUCUCUAAACAUUCUGCUUCAGUGGCACUAUCAGGCCACAAAGACCUUCAUUAUCUCACUAUCUCAGGAUAUUAUUCUGGUCUACAACAGUGACCACAUAAUGGUAGGGCUUAUAGAGCAGAAGGUGGCAUGUAUUCUAGAUGUCAUUCUAAGACACAGCCGUGCCAGAUAGUGACAGAUGAAUCCUAUGAAAAUAGUUUCUGAACAUCCAGCAAUCCGGGGCACUUGAAAGAACUCAUCUAAAAGGAAAGUCAAGUUUCUGUAUCCUGUAUCCCUUACCACUAAGAAAUCAGCACAAACACGAGUGGGUAUAUGGGUGUGUUUCUCUGACUUAUACAAACGACCUGAAAGGGUGACAACUUGAGUGACCAGUUUACUAGCAGAUGAAACUGUGUGCCUGAUUAAUCAAUGGCUCUGCCCAAUAGGAAGGUA
rnacentral:lncRNA from 1 species